AUUGAACGCUGGCGGCAGGCUUAACACAUGCAAGUCGAGCGAGCGGCGGACGGGUGAGUAAUGUCUGGGAAACUGCCUGAUGGAGGGGGAUAACUACUGGAAACGGUAGCUAAUACCGCAUACCAUCAGAUGUGCCCAGAUGGGAGUAGCUAGUCGGUGGGGUAACGGCUCACCUAGGCGACGAUCCCUAGCUGGUCUGAGAGGGUGACCAGCCACACUGGAACGGAGACACGGUCCAGACUCCUACGGGAGGCAGCAGUGGGGAAUAUUGCACAAUGGGCGCAAGCCUGAGACAGCCAUGCCGCGUGUGUGAAGAAGGCCUUCGGGUUGUAAAGUACUUUCAGCGAGGAGGCGUUACCCGCAGAAGAAGCACCGGCUAACUCCGUGCCAGCAGCCGCGGUAAUUC
rnacentral:rRNA from 1 species